rnacentral:rRNA from 1 species
UACCCGCUGAACUUAAGCAUAUCAAUAAGCGGAGGAAAAGAAACCAACCGGGAUUACCUCAGUAACGGCGAGUGAAGCGGUAAAAGCUCAAAUUUGAAAUCUUCGGAAUUGUAAUUUGUCGGCCGAGAGCAGUGAGGCUUUAAAGUCUGCUGGAACGCAGCGCCAUGGAGGGUGAUAGCCCCGUCGCCACACACAAUAAGCUCUCGCGCCUAAGAGUCGGGUUGUUUGGGAAUGCAGCUCAAAGUGGGUGGUAAAUUCCAUCUAAGGCUAAAUAUUGGCGAGAGACCGAUAGCGAACAAGUACAGUGAUGGAAAGAUGAAAAGCACUUUGAAAAGAGAGUGAAACAGUACGUGAAAUUGUUGAAAGGGAAGGGUGUGAAGUGGGGUGCAGAGAUGCGCAGUAGUGAGUCAAACCUUUGGCGGCUUGCGACUACGUGUUUUUGACCCACUUCCCACCACCCGUCUUGAAACACGGACC